ensembl:lncRNA
ACUUUUGAUUGUAGACUUUAGAUUCUAACUGAGCACAGUUUAAAACAUUGGUAAGAAACAUUUUUAAACUCUAGAGGAGACAGAUAUCUAAAUGUUCAGUUUGAUCAGUGGUGUCUGGGAGAAACCAGUGAGAUCAUUGCUUCUUUUAGCUUCAGCUCAAAGUAAUUCAGGUCAUGAUUUUGAAUUUAUGUUUUGUUUAAUAUUUUGUCACCGACACUGUCUUAUCUCUGGACAUAAAAUACCAAGUGAAGUUUUCUUAGCGAUAUAAACUAUUAGCAUGCAUCUCAUCAUAGUUUACAUUCUGCCGCUAUGCAUGUAACAGAAAUGUCCAGUUUAUGAUAUUCAGACAAAUAUAAAACCACCUGUUUAUCCAGGCCUUUCUACAUCCAUACCAACAUACUCACAAACAAUAAAUAUCUGAUAAUGUCAAGAUCUGUUAAAAUAAACCAAUAACAGGAAAACGCCCCCUGUUUCCUUUUGCUAUGGGCAUGAAUAUUCCCCCAGCGGCCACUGCUUUCUCCCACGAUUCUUGGUGGGAAGUCUCUGGCUUCUUGCUCACGUCAUCGCUGUGAGGCAGACAUGUCAGGGGAAUACUGAAGAAUGUCUUUUUUGGGGUCUGUUGUGUUUUCACUCACCAUCUUUUCUCUGUAAUCCUCCCUCUAUGUUAUACAUAGCUGACAGCAUGGAGCUCUGAAUAGCAACUAAUAACCAGUGGGACCAGAAAGAGAAAACAUCUGCUGAUCCAAAAUAGUAUCCGUCUGCUGUGGAUGCUAUGGAUGUUUACUUCUGUGAGGACAGGAAAAGGACAUCAGAUGAAGAGGAAGAUUCAAUUCAGCCUUAUGCUUUCACCACCAUUACUCACAGCCUUUCUCUCUAUAUCUUACUUUCUCGACUCUCUUUUAUGUCCUCUUAAGAAAAAAGGAAAUGGGCAGAAAAAUAAAGAAAAGUUGCUUCUCUGCUGUUUUUUUUAGGGAGGUCUCCAGGAAAUGUCCAUUUAGAGGCAUAACUAAGCUAUUUGUCCUCUGUCAAUAGCCGUGCAGCUGAUGGGAACUAUCUAUAGAUGACUUCAGAGUCACAAUACACGUCACAUCUCCAAAGUCCUUCAGCGCUUGUGGCUACAAUGCACGUAUUGUCCAACGCAUCCCACAAACCAUGAUUCAGAUCUUCAGAAAGACAUCAACAUUUUUGCCUCGUGAUUAAUUGUAAUGCAAUGCAUUACACAGUUCACAGUUCCACAGGUUCUCACUUGUACCCAUGUGGGCAGCUCAUUACUAAAUUACAGGGUCUGGAUCCGAGCGAGCGGGGUGGGAGUCUCCUCCCUAUGGGUGUGCUUUUGCUCGCUCCAAUUCAGUGAAAUCCAAUUUCCAUUCCCUUAGCACGCUUGGUUGGAUCCCUUAAUACGCCGCCCACCCUCAGUUUCCCCCUAAAGGAGCCUCACUCUGAGUGCCCCAUCACUAACAGCCCUCUGAUAACCAAACACACACAAUAUUAGGGAUCAUUCCAUGCCUUCCCACAUCUUCCCUUUUUUGUCUUUCCUUCAUUCUGUUUCUUUCCCCCUUGAGAGUUUCAGCGUUAUUAAUAGACGUAGUGGCUGUUGGGUCCUACAGUUGCUGGAAGAG